UAGGGAAUCUUCCGCAAUGGGCGAAAGCCUGACGGAGCAAUGCCGCGUGAGUGAUGAAGGUUUUCGGAUCGUAAAGCUCUGUUGCCAGGGAAGAACGCUUGGGAGAGUAACUGCUCUCAAGGUGACGGUACCUGAGAAGAAAGCCCCGGCUAACUACGUGCCAGCAGCCGCGGUAAUACGUAGGGGGCAAGCGUUGUCCGGAAUUAUUGGGCGUAAAGCGCGCGCAGGCGGUCAUUUAAGUCUGGUGUUUAAUCCCGGGGCUCAACCCCGGAUCGCACUGGAAACUGGGUGACUUGAGUGCAGAAGAGGAGAGUGGAAUUCCACGUGUAGCGGUGAAAUGCGUAGAUAUGUGGAGGAACACCAGUGGCGAAGGCGACUCUCUGGGCUGUAACUGACGCUGAGGCGCGAAAGCGUGGGGAGCAAACAGGAUUAGAUACCCUGGUAGUCCACGCCGUAAACGAUGAGUGCUAGGUGUUAGGGGUUUCGA
rnacentral:rRNA from 1 species